rnacentral:rRNA from 1 species
UACGAAGGGGGCUAGCGUUGUUCGGAUUUACUGGGCGUAAAGCGCACGUAGGCGGAUCGUUAAGUCGGGGGUGAAAUCCUGGAGCUCAACUCCAGAACUGCCUUCGAUACUGGCGAUCUUGAGUCCGGAAGAGGUGAGUGGAACUCCUAGUGUAGAGGUGGAAUUCGUAGAUAUUCGCAAGAACACCAGUGGCGAAGGCGGCUCACUGGCCCGAUACUGACGCCGAGGCACGAAAGCGUGGGGAGCAAACAGG